GAAGGAGUAGAGGAGAAGGUAAACCGGCACACACACAACUCAGGUACACAGCUGCUGAACAAAGAAUAGGCCUGGCGAAAAGUUACUGAAAUGAAAAUGUGUACCUGAGCAACAUCUAUGGAGGCCAGCGAGAGAGUCCACGAAAAGCUCCGUAAUAAGUGUAACGGACUCAUUCACCAGCUGAUGGCGCCCCCGGAAUCCGAGCUAAGUCCUGCUGGAGGAUUGCACAUGCCGUUUCAAGUUGUGGACUACAAGCACCAGCAUCUCUCACACACACACACCAAAGUGUAACAUCAUAAUAAAUGUAAUCAUCAUUAA